rnacentral:rRNA from 1 species
GUGUCAGCAGCCGCGGUAAUACGGAAGGUGCGAGCGUUAAUCGGAAUUACUGGGCGUAAAGCGCACGUAGGUGGUUUUAUAAGUCGGAUGUGAAAGCCCCGGGCUUAACCUGGGAAUUGCAUCUGAUACUGUCUGACUAGAGUAUGCUAGAGGGAAGUGGAAUUCCAGGUGUAGCGGUGAAAUGCGUAGAUAUCUGGAGGAACACCAAUGGCGAAGGCAACUUCCUGGGGCAAUACUGACACUGAUGUGCGAAAGCGUGGGGAGCAAACAGGAUUAGAUACCCCGGUAGUCC